rnacentral:rRNA from 1 species
CGACGCAGCGACGCCGCGUGAGGGAAGAAGGCCUUCGGGUUGUAAACCUCUUUCAGGAGGGACGAAGCUACUCGGGUGAAUAGCCCAGAGGGUGACGGUACCUCCAGAAGAAGCCCCGGCUAACUACGUGCCAGCAGCCGCGGUAAUACGUAGGGGGCAAGCGUUGUCCGGAUUUACUGGGCGUAAAGAGCGUGUAGGCGGCCCGACAGGUCUGUUGUGAAAACUGGAGGCUCAACCUCCAGACGUCGACAGAAACCGUUGGGCUAGAGUCCGGAAGAGGAGAGUGGAAUUCCUGGUGUAGCGGUGAAAUGCGCAGAUAUCAGGAAGAACACCGAUGGCGAAGGCAGCUCUCUGGGACGGUACUGACGCUGAGACGCGAAAGCGUGGGGAGCGAACAGGAUUAGAUACCCUGGUAGUCCACGCCGUAAACGAUGGGUGCUAGGUGUGGGAGGUGUCGACUCCUCCCGUGCCGCAGCUAACGCAUUAAGCACCCCGCCUGGGGAGUACGGCCGCAAGGCUA